UACUUCCCACAGCUCCUUGGCUGACAUCUUUCAAUAUCAGUGCUCUUAGAACCAAUAAACACCCCAUACGUGCUCCUUUGUUAUUGGCCAGUUCUCUUUUCCUCUUCGUCGAUUUUUUUUUUUUUUUGAGAAAUCGAGUUCGUCGAUGUUGUUGAUGGUUUUGAGAAAUUUCUCCAAAUCCAUCCGUGAAACCACCGUGAAGAUUCUCUAAGGCGGAGGAGGAACACAUGGCUCAGUUGGCGGCGGCGGGGAGGAGCGGGUGUAUAAUCGGAGAUUACGCGGUGGGACGACAAAUCGGGUCGGGUUCGUUUCGGUGGUGUGGGAAGGGAGGCAUCUUGUAGAUGGAACAGUGGUUGUUAUCAAAGAGAUCGCCAUGGCUAGGCUUAGUAAGAAUUUGCAAGAUAGUCUCAAGUUUCGAAGAUCUGUUCGUGUAUUGCGGGAGGAAGUUCUCGCCAAAGACGGUCUUGUUGUUAGCUGAUCAAAUGCUAACGAGGAUAGAGUAUGUACACUCCAAAGCGUAUCUGCAUAGAGUAUGUUUACUGUAGUUUCUCUUCUCCAUCUGAAACUUUGAUAAGGGAAUGAUAAGUUUGAGUUAAUCAGAUGAGAUGUUGGUUGUAAUUUGAUGGCUUGAUUACUCUUCAGCGUGAAGGUGCAUAACACCGGAAUAUCACAGAUUAGUGAAUAUAGCAGUCCUGGCGAUGGCUUACAUGAGUGUGGCGGCUAUAGCAGCAGCAUCAGAGUCUGGUAUGAUUGGAAUAAGAGGUGAGGAAGAGCUGCAAUGGAUGAAGGUGUGCAAUAUGUUUGGUAAGUUCUGCAACCGAGGAGCUGGAGGAGUAGCCAGCACCAUGCUUGCUUCCGUUGCUAUGGUUUUGGCCUCUUGCAUUUCCGCCUUUAGUCUCUUUCGCUUGUACGGUGCCACCACCCAAUGACCACCAAACGUAGCCGUGGUGAAGUGAAAGAACGCAUCCUCUGUCUUUAUUAGUGUUGAAAUGUUGUUGUUAAGAAACCAAAAAAAGAGAGAGUGAAAGUGUAGGCUAAAUCUUCUUCCUUAUGUUAAAAUUAUGAUGUUCUUUGUGACAUAGGUUUUUGUAUCAGUGUGCAAUCUGCUGUGAUCAAAAGCAA